rnacentral:tRNA from 4 species
CGUAGCUCAACGGCAGAGCAUCCGACUGUUAAUCGGACGGUUACUGGUUCGAAUCCAGUC